rnacentral:rRNA from 1 species
UUAGAGUUUGAUCCUGGCUCAGAACGAACGCUGGCGGCGUGGAUAAGACAUGCAAGUCGAACGAGAGAAUUGCUAGCUUGCUAAUAAUUCUCUAGUGGCGCACGGGUGAGUAACACGUGAGUAACCUGCCCCCGAGAGCGGGAUAGCCCUGGGAAACUGGGAUUAAUACCGCAUAGUAUCGAAAGAUUAAAGCAGCAAUGCGCUUGGGGAUGGGCUCGCGGCCUAUUAGUUAGUUGGUGAGGUAACAGCUCACCAAGGCGAUGACGGGUAGCCGGUCUGAGAGGAUGUCCGGCCACACUGGAACUGAGACACGGUCCAGACACCUACGGGUGGCAGCAGUCGAGAAUCAUUCACAAUGGGGGAAACCCUGAUGGUGUGACGCCGCGUGGGGGAAUGAAGGUCUUCGGAUUGUAAACCCCUGUCAUGUGGGAGCAAAUUAAAAAGAUAGUACCACAAGAGGAAGAGACGGCUAACUCUGUGCCAGCAGCCGCGGUAAUACAGAGGUCUCAAGCGUUGUUCGGAAUCACUGGGCGUAAAGCGUGCGUAGGCUGUUUCGUAAGUCGUGUGUGAAAGGCGCGGGCUCAACCCGCGGACGGCACAUGAUACUGCGAGACUAGAGUAAUGGAGGGGGAACCGGAAUUCUCGGUGUAGCAGUGAAAUGCGUAGAUAUCGAGAGGAACACUCGUGGCGAAGGCGGGUUCCUGGACAUUAACUGACGCUGAGGCACGAAGGCCAGGGGAGCGAAAGGGAUUAGAUACCCCUGUAGUCCUGGCAGUAAACGGUGCACGCUUGGUGUGCGGGGAAUCGACCCCCUGCGUGCCGGAGCUAACGCGUUAAGCGUGCCGCCUGGGGAGUACGGUCGCAAGAUUAAAACUCAAAGAAAUUGACGGGGACCCGCACAAGCGGUGGAGUAUGUGGCUUAAUUCGAUGCAACGCGAAGAACCUUACCUGGGCUUGACAUGUAAUGAACAACAUGUGAAAGCAUGCGACUCUUCGGAGGCGUUACACAGGUGCUGCAUGGCCGUCGUCAGCUCGUGUCGUGAGAUGUUUGGUUAAGUCCAGCAACGAGCGCAACCCCUGUUGCCAGUUACCAGCACGUGAAGGUGGGGACUCUGGCGAGACUGCCCAGAUCAACUGGGAGGAAGGUGGGGACGACGUCAGGUCAGUAUGGCCCUUAUGCCCAGGGCUGCACACGUACUACAAUGCCCAGUACAGAGGGGGCCGAAGCCGCGAGGCGGAGGAAAUCCUGAAAACUGGGCCCAGUUCGGACUGUAGGCUGCAACCCGCCUACACGAAGCCGGAAUCGCUAGUAAUGGCGCAUCAGCUACGGCGCCGUGAAUACGUUCCCGGGUCUUGCACUCACCGCCCGUCA